CAAACCCAAUGUGACGUUACCAAACUGUUGCCUCGGCGGGAUCUCUGCCCCGGGUGCGNNCAGCCCCGGACCAAGGCGCCCGCCGGAGGACCAACCAAAACUCUUUUUGUAUACCCCCUCGCGGGUUUUUUAUAAUCUGAGCCUUCUCGGCGCCUCUCGUAGGCGUUUCGAAAAUGAAUCAAAACUUUCAACAACGGAUCUCUUGGUUCUGGCAUCGAUGAAGAACGCAGCGAAAUGCGAUAAGUAAUGUGAAUUGCAGAAUUCAGUGAAUCAUCGAAUCUUUGAACGCACAUUGCGCCCGCCAGUAUUCUGGCGGGCAUGCCUGUCCGAGCGUCAUUUCAACCCUCGAACCCCUCCGGGGGGUCGGCGUUGGGGAUCGGCCCUCCCUUAGCGGGUGGCCGUCUCCGAAAUACAGUGGCGGUCUCGCCGCAGCCUCUCCUGCGCAGUAGUUUGCACACUCGCAUCGGGAGCGCGGCGCGUCCACAGCCGUUAAACACCCAACUUCUGAAAUGUUGACCUCGGAUCAGGUAGGAAUACCCGCUGAACUUAAGCAUAUCAAUAAGCGGAGGAAAUCGGCAAGGUAAACAUUUGCUUGCUUGCCGAAUAAAGAGUAUGAACGGCUUAACUCCUAUUAUCCAUAUCACCACAUGACGGAUAUGGCGAACAUAAGGAUAAUAUUAACCUUAAAAUCAAAGACCCCCAACACGGCUUUUGCCCGUUUGACCCCCCUACCCCCCUAACUCGAAAAAUCAUUGGAACGUCUAGUAUGCCCCCCAUAAACAGGAAAAUCUCAAGUGGGGUAAUGUAAGGGCCGAAAACGGAUCGAUUUGCUUUAUUGNNAUUUUACUCUCGGUAACCCAACUUAACAUGAGGAAACACUGAAGAUGUUCGUCGGCAGCACAUAGCGAAGACUUGCGCGGGGUCU
rnacentral:rRNA from 1 species